AGUUGCACGUGGGUGGCGAGAAGGCGCACACACACCGGGCGCACACCCGUACAGCGAUGCAACGGCAGUACCACAGCUAAGCUGUUUCACAAUGAGCUUCGAUAGCUCGAGGGGCUACCGCAGCACCUUCGGCUACCGCACCGACACCCCGUACCAGCAGCCCAUCGCUCACCGACAAGGGUACACGGAGACGCAACUCACGAUGCGCCAGCACGGCGCCGUCAUCGUGGGCUGCUCCACGGCUUGCGCGUUUCUGACGGUGCCGAUUGAGAAGUUGGAUCGCUUUUACUUUCUUAGCGACGUCCCCGGCGAGUCAAGCCGCAUUUACAUGUCAGAUAAGCGAGCCCAGUUCUUUCGGGUGGUGUUCCACACACGGUGGUGGAGGGGCCGCUCCUUCGUAUGGCUGGCGGCGCACUACGGCUUUCUGCUCUCCACCUUUGCCGUGCUGCGACACGGGUUGGAGACGGCGUCGUGGGACAACUGCCGCCGCGGCUUUGCCGCUGGCGCCAUGACGGGUGUGCUGUACGCUACCGCGACCCAUCCUUACGACGUGUUGCGUGCAACGGCAGAGGCCCCAACGGGACCACGCCGGUUUAGCGGCGCCGCGGACGUCCUCAUGACGGCGCUGCGAGAGCGGCCGCAGGUGCUGCUCGGUGUGUAUCGCGGCUUUACCGUCGCGCUGCUGGGCCGCUCGCUGCAGUUCGCCCUUCAGUUCGGCCUCUACAACUGGCUGCGCUACGACGGUGUGUACCGCCAUUUCAUGGUGCUGUUUCUUUACUGCCACCUCGCCACGUUCCUCGGCAUGGCAGCCCAGUAUCCGGUGCAGUCUCUGCGACAACAGCUGCACAUCAUCAACUCCACCACUUGCGGGCGACCACAGAAUUAUCGCUCGCUCUUCCUCGAUUUGCGUCGGCGCCACGGCAUCACGAAGCUCUACGACGGCUUCUUCCGGGGUAAGCCGAUUCUGAGCGCGGUGCCGAUGGCGUUGUUGAUAGCCGCGUACGACGUGAGCACUCGACACUACACCGAAUACCUGCACCCCGAGGCGACAGCGAAGCCGACCCACACGCAGUCCCUCACCUCCGUCGCGGCCCCCGCCUACCUGACGCACCCGCCGCCGUACGAAUUCGCGCGCAAAGCCCCGUGAGGCGCCGUCGAUGUAGUUGUUGUUCCUACGGUUGUCUGGCAGUUUGUAUGUGUGUGUGUGUGUGUGUGUGUGUAACCGUGCCGCCAUGCAACCCUGCACCGCCUUUGGCAUGAAGCAAGGGGAGGGGCUCGGGGAGGAUCUGCUUGGUGAUAUAACCCCUCUACUUCUCCACGAUUGCCCGGAGGCAGCGGCGAGGCCUUCGCUCCAUCUGCUUCGGGCAGUCACAUACCCCCAGGUGCCUUCCUCCCUCACUUGCAUGUGUACCAUGAUGCGGCCGAGUUCGUCGACGCAAAG
rnacentral:misc_RNA from 1 species